rnacentral:rRNA from 1 species
UCGAGGAUCAUUCGCAAUGAGCGAAAGCUUGACGAUGCGACGCCGUGUGAGCGAUGAAGGCCUUCGGGUUGUAAAGCUCUUUCGCCUUGGAACAAGAGAGUGAAGUGAAUAACUUCGCGAUUUGAGGGUACAAGGUAAAGAAGCACCGGCUAACUCCGUGCCAGCAGCUGCGGUAAUACGGAGGGUGCAAGCAUUAAUCGGAAUUAUUGGGCGUAAAGGGCGCGUAGGCGGAUUUGUAAGUCAGAUGUGAAAUUCCGAAGCUCAACUUCGGAGCGGCAUUUGAAACUGCGAGUCUAGAGGAAUGGCGGAGAAAAUGGAAUUCCACGUGUAGCGGUGAAAUGCGUAGAUAUGUGGAAGAACACCGGUGGCGAAAGCGGUUUUCUAGCUUUUUCCUGACGCUGAGGCGCGAGAGCAAGGGGAGCAAACAGGAUUAGAUACCCCCGUAGUCC